ACUCCUACGGGAGGCAGCAGUGGGGAAUAUUGCACAAUGGGGGAAACCCUGAUGCAGCAACGCCGCGUGAGUGAUGACGGCCUUCGGGUUGUAAAGCUCUGUCUUCAGGGACGAUAAUGACGUAC
rnacentral:rRNA from 1 species